ensembl:lncRNA
GUGUAAUCACAGGGUCCUUGUAAGUAAUAGAGGGAGACAGCAGGGUGGAGUUAGAGUGAUACAAUGUGAGAAAGUCCAGCCACCACUGACUUUGAAGAUGGAGCAAGCCAAGGAUUGUGGGAAGCUGGAAAUGGAUCCUGCCUUGCAGCCUUCAGAAAGGAACGCAGCCCCACCCUUACUUCGGUUUUAGGCCAGUGAGACCCAUGUGAUUCUUCUGACUAAAGAAGAGGAAGAUUAUAAAAGUGUGUUGUCUUAAGCUACUAGAUGUGUGCUGAUUUGUUGCAGCAGCAAUGGGAAAUGGCCUGGAUUCCAGCCUCCAUCUCUGGGUUGGCCAGGAGAAGCCCUGGGCCCACACAGCUCUCCCUUACUCACGCCAGGAGGGACUAACACAGAUGAAGGUAUUUCACACAACAAAUACAACUCAACCAUGAGGAAGACGGAGCUGCCCCUCCAUUCAACCACACGAGCCAGCGUCACAAGCAAACUGUUGGGUUCCUUGUCAGCUGGGACCUUAGUUCUCCAGGGAUUGAAACUGAAUCCCCUGCUGUGGAAGGCAGAAUCUCAACCGCUGGACUGCUGGGGAG